GAAAUGCGAUAAGUAAUGUGAAUUGCAGAAUUCAGUGAAUCAUCGAAUCUUUGAACGCACAUUGCGCCCGCCAGCACUCUGGCGGGCAUGCCUGUUCGAGCGUCAUUUCAACCCUCAGAACCCCUUGCGGGAUCUGGCGUUGGGGAUUGGCAUCCAGCCAGCCCCGAAAUCUAGUGGCGGUCCCUCCGCGACCUCCCCUGUGCAGUAGCAAUACCUCGCAGCGGGACAGCGGUCUGACCACGCCGUAAAACCCCCAACAUCUCAAGGUUGACCUCGAAUCAGGUAGGAAUACCCGCUGAACUUAAGC
rnacentral:misc_RNA from 1 species